rnacentral:rRNA from 1 species
UUUUGUGGCCAAGCUGAUAAGGGCAAUCGGUGGAUGCCUUGGUGCCAAGAGGCGAUGAAAGACGUGGUAAGCUGCGAUAAGCUUCGGGGAGCCGCUAAACAGGCUUUGAUCCGGAGAUCUCUGAAUGGGGAAACCCGUCCCGGGUAAUGUCGGGACAUCUGCAACUGAAUCCAUAGGUUGCAGAGGCCAACGGAGGGAACUGAAACAUCUUAGUACCUCCAGGAAAAGAAAACAACCGUGAUUUCCUGAGUAGCGGCGAGCGAAACGGAAAGAGCCCAAACCGAAUACAUGCCAAGCCCGGAAGCGUUGUGUAUUCGGGGUCGCGGGAUUCGACCGGACGGAGUUCCGGCUUCGUCGGGAAGUUACCAAACCGAUUCAUAGUCGAAGGGUCUGGAACGGCCUGCCAGAGAGGGUGAUAGCCCCGUAGGCGAAAUGGAUCGGACUUCCUGGGUCGGACACCCAAGUACCGCGGGACACGUGAAACCCUGCGGGAAUUCGGGAGGACCAUCUCCCAAGGCUAAAUACUCCUUGGUGACCGAUAGUGAACCAGUACCGUGAGGGAAAGGUGAAAAGCACCCCGGUGAGGGGAGUGAAAUAGUACCUGAAACCGGUUGCCUACAAGCGGUGGGAGGGCUAUGGAACCCGCUUCGGCGGUUUCCAGCCUGACCGCGUGCCUUUUGCAUAAUGAGUCAGCGAGUUACUCUACGCAGCGAGGUUAAGCCGUUAGGCGGAGCCGCAGCGAAAGCGAGUCUGAACAGGGCGUUCAGUUGCGUGGAGUAGACCCGAAACCAGGUGAUCUAUCCAUGGCCAGGGUGAAGCGCAAGUAAAAUUGCGUGGAGGCCCGAACCGGUGUAGGUUGAAAACUGCUCGGAUGAGCUGUGGAUAGGGGUGAAAGGCCAAACAAACCUGGAAAUUGCUGGUUCUCCCCGAAAUAUAUUUAGGUAUAGCCUUGCAGGUAAUUGGCGGGGGUAGAGCACUGGAUGGGCUAGGGGUCUUACCGGAUUACCAAACCCAACCAAACUCCGAAUACCGUCAAUCCCCACUGCAGGAGUCAGACUCCGGGAGCUAAGUUCCGGGGUCGAGAGGGAAACAGCCCAGACCGCCAGCUAAGGUCCCCAAAUAUGCGCUCAGUGGGAAAGGAUGUGGAAACGCUCAGACAACCAGGAGGUUGGCUUAGAAGCAGCCACCCUUUAAAGAAAGCGUAAUAGCUCACUGGUCGAGUGGGUCCGCGCCGAAAAUUCAACGGGGCUAAGCGCAUUACCGAAGCUGCGGAUCCGUCGCAAGACGGAUGGUAGGGGAGCGUUCUGCACGGGUUGAAGGUCGACCGGAAGGACGGCUGGACUGUGCAGAAGAGACCAUGCUGACAUGAGUAGCGAUAAAGCGGGUGAAAAACCCGCUCGCCGAAAGCCUAAGGUUUCCUGGGUAAAGCUAAUCUGCUCAGGGUUAGUCGAUCCCUAAGCCGAGGCCGAAAGGCGUAGGUGAUGGAAAACAGGUUAAUAUUCCUGUACCACCGGGCGGUCGAUGCCCUUCGGGGCGACAGCGAUGGGGGGACGCAGGAGGGUAGGUCAUCCACCGGUUGGUCGUGGUGGUUCAAGCCGGUAGGCUGGAAGGAUAGGCAAAUCCGUCCUUCCUUAAGGCCGAGAGGUGAUGAGGAUCCGCUUCGGCGGAACAAACUGAUCGAUCCCAUACUGCCAAGAAAAGCCUCUAGCGAGAACGCCAGGUGAUCGUACCGCAAACCGACACAGGUAGGCGAGGAGAGUAUCCACAGGCGCUUGGGAGAACACUGGUUAAGGAACUCGGCAAAUUCACACCGUAACUUCGGGAGAAGGUGUGCCUCUGACAGGUGAAGUCCCUCGCGGACGGAGCCGAGAGGGGCCGCAGAGAAACGGCGGUAGCGACUGUUUACUAAAAACACAGGACUCUGCUAAGUCGCAAGACGACGUAUAGGGUCUGACGCCUGCCCGGUGCCGGAAGGUUAAGGGGAUUGGUUAGCCGCAAGGCGAAGCUGAGAACCGAAGCCCCGGUAAACGGCGGCCGUAACUAUAACGGUCCUAAGGUAGCGAAAUUCCUUGUCGGGUAAGUUCCGACCUGCACGAAUGGCGUAACGACUUCCGCACUGUCUCAACCAGUGACCCGGUGAA